rnacentral:tRNA from 1 species
GAGGGUCUAGCUCAGUGGCAGAGCGCAUGCUUAGCAUGCACAAGGUCCUGGGUUCAAUCUCCAGUACCUCCA